rnacentral:misc_RNA from 1 species
GUAUUUCAAUUGCGUUUUUAAGGCAAUGACAUAAGUCAUACAUUCUAUAAACAUACAAAGGGUAUAUGAAGACAUGCGAGGCCGGUUAGGACCCCUCACGGCGUGGUUCACAGGUGUGUGUGGAUAAGCAGACUCAGGUGUGCACAUGCCAUUUUACUGACCAGCUACAACCUUACGCCUACAAAUUCGAUAAUGAUCCUUCCGCAGGUUCACCUACGGAAA